GAGGGUAUAGCUCAGUAAAAGAGCACAUGCUUAGCAUGCACAAGGUCCUGGGUUCAAUCCUCAGUACCUCCU
rnacentral:tRNA from 1 species